GGACCUCAUGAAACUGAAAACUUUCUUGUAAGGCAAAGGACACAGUCAACAGUACAAAAUGGCAGCCUACAGAAUGGGGAAAGAUGUUCACCAACUCCACAUCUGACAGAAGGCUAAUAUCCAAAAUAUAUAAAGAACUCAAGAAACUAGACAUCAACAAACCAAACACUCCAAAUGAAAAGUGGAAUAUAGAUCUAUCUAAACAGAAAAUUCUCAAUAGAGUAAUCUCAAAUGGUCAGGGAAAGCUUAAAGAAAUGUUCAAACAUUCUUAGUCAUGAGGGAAAUGCAAAUCAAAAUGACUCUGAAAUUCCAUCUUCCACUUGUCAGAAUGGCUAAGAUCAAAACCACAAGUGACAGCUCGUGCUGGUGAGGAUAUAGAGCAAGGGGGAGCACUCCUCCACUCCUGGUGGGAGUGCAAAUUUGUACAGUCACUUUGGAUAUUGGUAUGGCAGUUUCUCAGGAAAUUGGACUUGAUGUACCUCAAGACCCAGCUCUAAGACUCCUGCAAGGAUGCUUGCUCAACCAUGUUUAUUGAGGCUUUAUUCAUAAUAGCCAGAAGCUGGAAACAACCUCAAUGCCCCUCAACUAAAGAAUCGAUUGAGAAAAUGUGGUACCUUUACACCAGGGAGUAUUACUCAGCUGUUAAAUAUAUAUAUAACAUCAUGAAAUUUGUAGGCAAAUGGAUAGAAGUAGGAAAAAAAUCCUCCUGAGGCGGGUAGCCCAGACUCAGAAAGGCAAACAUGGUAUAUACUCAUGUAAAAGUGAACUUUAACUGGAAAGUAAAGGAUAAUCAUGCUACAAUCCAUAGACCCAGAGAGGUUAAGUAACAAGAAGGGGUCAACAGGAAACAUAUGUAUCUCCAUAGAAAGAGGAAAUAGAAUAGAUUUGCAGGUGGACUAGGGUGGUUAGGGAUGGGAACGGGAAGAAUCAGGAAGGGGGCAUAAAGUGAGAGAGUACUGGGAAAGAUGACUGAAACUGAGGGACAUUUCAGUGUGGGAACUAAAAGGGCUUAGGGGAAAGAAUGGGGAGGGAGGAUAGCCCACGUCCAUCCAGAGUUCCUCCUAUGCUCUGGGCAGGGGGAUGUGAGAGGGUUGCCAGACACUUCCCAUUCGGCCCCGGGUGGACAUCUAAGCCAUUGACCCCAAUCAACUGCGGGGAGUGUAGACAAGGGGCAGCCCCCGACUGGGGCCCAGGACAACACCCUGUAGCCCCGGGGUUAUGAGGGAGAGAGGUUCCCAUGCAGGUGAGAGUAAGCACAGCAGGCCUUGAUUAACAUAGACCAUCUAUGGUUUUAGAGCUUUAUUGUAGAAAGGCAGGGGGAAAGAGAGAGAGACAGACAGACAGACAGACAGACAGACAGACCAUGGCUAAGAGGAGAGAAAGGGGAAAGGAGAAAGAGAGAAGAAAGGCUAGAGAGUAAAAGGGAGGGAGAGGAAGAGAGUGAAAGGAAAGAGGAGAGGAGAGAGGAGAGUAAGAGUGUAAGAGAAGUAAGAGCAAGAGAGCGAGGUGGGGCCAAGCAGCCCCUCUUAUGGUGUGCUGUUAUCUUUACUGUUGCUAGGUAACUGGGGAGGAGUCUAGACUGAAGGUAAGAAGCUUGGGACAUUGCCUACGUGACUACUAACCAUGAUUCUCUUGUGGGGGCUGAGGGGGCGGUAACUUCAACAGGAGCCAAGGUUCCAGGAGACAUGAGAGAACUCUUUCCGUCCCAAAUAGGUGAAUUAUCACCACCGGUCCCAGGGUUCAACAUCUAGCCUCAACUGGAAACCAGGCUGUCUGUGCAUAGCCCAAUGCCCCACAUUUCAGGGGCAAGGUAGGAACCUAACUCCAUGGAAUCCACAAGAGUAAUCAUAGUGAAUACUCCUAGUGAUGUGGGACACAAAGCUUAAACCAGCCAUCUUCUGUGACCAGGCAAGACUUCCAAUGGAGGGACUCAGACACCAACCCAGUCACAAAACCUGCAACCUACAAUUUGUCUGGUCUAUAAGAUGUGCUGGGGUAAAGGUGACACAGAACUUGUGGGAGGAACCAACCAGUGACUGGUCCAACUUGAGACCUAUGCCAUGACAGGGAGCCCACCCACCCCUGACACUAUCAGGAGGGUCAGAAACCAGAAGUUGGAUAGCCUAGAGACCUAGGAUAGAACCAAAUAUGCCUGGCAAGAACAACAAACAAACAAACAAAAAUCAAAUGAUUCCUAAUGAUAUUCUGAAGUGGAAACUUAAGGGUUCUUUGGAGAGUCAAUUGUGUUGGAUGGUGAUUUGCUGGGGCAAACAGGUGAAGGAGUGUUUUCAUGAAGUGGACACAGGUAUAAAAGUCUAAGGCAGACUCAUGAAGGAACGUUUCACUGAAGCAGAUACAGGAGAGAGGAUGUUCUGCUAAAGCAAAUACAUGAAAGAACACAUGAUGAAGGAUUUUUUGCUAACAGCACACAUGUAUUGGUCCACCUUACAUUGUGUAGUUGAGCUCCAUUUGUCUGGACUCUCCAGACUCAGGCUUAUUGGAUGCAUGUGCUGAGGCAAUGCAUACAGAGGACACAUGAUAUUUGGAGAGUGUAAAUAGAACUCCACAGAGUGAUGGAGACAGAACUUGGCUUGCUGGUACAGCUAGCUGUGCAACAUUUGUGUGUCUAUCACCUUCACUGAUCCUUGCUUCCCUGAGAGAGGCACAGCUGAGAGCUUCCCCUGGUGUUCCUGUUGGUCCCUCCUGCUGAGUAGAGCUGAGGCUGAAGCCUGGCUGUCUCUGCUAGGUCAUGUCACUGCUGUUGCUAAGCUGACUCUACUGAACUGGAUUGCUAGUGUAUCUGUGAAGUGGUUUCGAGUGGAUGGAGAUGCCUGGUGACCUCUGAACUGAACUGCUGAUUUCCAGACAGCAGAGAUGGGAGCUGCUUCAAAGAACCUUUCUAAACAGAUCCACUUCCCCCUAUUCUUUCUCUCCUACUACCUCUGGAAGGUGGUGGGCUACAAGGGAACAAGCAUUUAAGAACCAUCGUUAAAAAUAGGAUUUGAAAAAAAUUAGUUACAAUAUUCUGCUAUACUUGCAGACAGGAGCCUAGCAUAAUCAUCACCAGAGAGGUUUCAUCCAACAACUGAUGGAAGCAGAUGUCAAACCCACAGCCAAACAUUAGAUAGGAGCUCAGGGAUUCCUGCACAGAAGGACUGUAGAGGCCUGGGAGGUCAAGGACACUACGAGAAAGACUCACAACCAACUAAGCCAAGUUCAUAGUGUUCACAGAGACUGACUGAUAAUCACAGAGCCUAGGCCCUCUGCAUAUAUGUUGUGGUUGUGUAGCUUAGUGUUCUGGUGGCACUUCUAACUGCAGGAGUGGGAGCUGUCUGUUACUUUUUUGCUUGUUUUUGUGACCUCUUUUCUCCUACUGGGAUGCCUCUCCCAGCCUAAAUAAGGGGGUGGGGGGUCUCCUAGUCUUACUGUAACUUGAUAUGCCAUGUUUGGUCGAUAUCCCUGGGAGGCCUGCCCUUUUCUGAAGAGAAAGGAGAAGGAUUGAAUCUUGGGGAGAGGAAAGAUGGGGGAGGGGCUGAGAGGAGGGAGUAGAAGCUGAGGUCAGGAUAUAUGGAAGAAGAAUAAGAAAAAAGAAAGAGAAGAUACUCAUCGAAAUACUAAUUAUAAGGGCUGAAAAGCUUGAAACAGCCCCCAACUUCAUCAAGAGGAAUUAAAUAUUAUGAUAUAUCUUUUGUAAUAAAAUUCUAAGUAGUCUACAAACAAGAUUAGAAAGUUAAACAUAGACUAGUCUACUACAUAUUAAAUGUUUCAGUUGUGAUAGCAGUUCUAGAUAAGAAUUUUUAGGAUAAUACUAGAAUCUCUAUAAAUGGAAUAAUAUGAUGUUUCAAAAUAAUAUGAAAGAUGAGUGGUAAAGAGCUUGGUGAAUACAAGAUUGGUCAUGAGAAUAAAUAGCUGUUAAAGACAGAGAUCUUUACCAACACUGUAUGGGAGUGCAUUCUCUUGAUUAGGGUGCUUUGAGAUUUCAUUGAAACUGCCUAAAUUCUACUCUAUUGAAGUGGCAAGUGACGUUUCCUGUGUUUGCACAGAUGGCUGAGAACAAGACUAUGUAGACCAUUUGCCGUCUUUCUCAUUGGCUUUAGCAAUCACUAGGUUACUUUAUUUCUCCAUGGGUUUUCCUAGUCUGGAAGUUUCUUAGGAAUCCAGUCAUACAACACGUGGUAUGGCUUUUCUUAACAGCGAUAAGCACUUUUUUUUAUUAUGGAAAGCUAUUCCAUAUAUGGUGUCCCACUUUGCUUUCUGUUCCAUCAUCAAAGGCAACUUAGGGGGAAAGGUAGUUUUAUUAGACGUACACUUCUAGGUCAUGGCCCAUUAUUGGGGAAUGCUAGGACAGGAACUCAAUAGAAACCACGGAGAAAUGCUGCCUUGACCUACUCAUUGACACGUGCUUUCUUACAGGAUCCACACCCAUGGUCUAUGGAUGGUGCUGGGCAGUGCCCAUAGUAGGCCCUCUUACAUCAAUCUUCAAUCAAAACAGAAAAGGUCCCUGGCCGAUAUGAUCUGGGAAAUCACUCAAUUUAAGUUCCCUCUUCCCUGGUGACUCUAGAUUGAGUCAAGUUGACAGUAAAAACUACCCAACACAUAUAUGAUCAACUGUAUAUUACUUAUUCAUUAACUGAUAGGGGAUUUGAGUAGCCUCUUUCUUGGAGCUACAUUAAAGAGUCAACACAUUUUUUGUAUGAAUACAUAUCUUCACUUGGGCAUAUACUAGAAGUACACUCCUGAAUCAAAUCAUAAUUCUAUAAUUUAACAUUUUAAGGAUCUGCCCAAACAUUUUCCAUGUACUAGUAUGCCAGAAUUCUGUUGAUUUUAUGUAACUUUAAAAUACCCUAUAAUAGGGUUUCAAUUGUUGUGAAGAGAUACCAUGAUCAUGGUGUCUUAUAAAGGAAAACAAUUAAAGAUAGCUUACAGGUUCAGGGCUUUAAGUCCAUUAUUGUCAUGGCAGAAAGCAUGGCAGUGCACAGGCACACAUAUUCUAGAAAAGGAAUCAAGAUGUUUUACAUCUGGAUCAGCAAGGAGCAAAGAGGGAGGGAAGGAAGGAGAGAGAGAGAAAGAGGGGGGAGGGAGAGAGAGAUCCAAAUAGUACAACUCCCUAUGAGCCUAUGGGAGCUGUUUUCAUUCAAACCACAAGUAAGAAUUUUCUAAAAACUGUUUCCUAGACAAUCAGCAGGAUCCUGGGAAAAGUUUAAUGAUUACGUUUGUUUGCUUGCUUGCUUGCUUGUUUUGUGAGUAAGGGACUGAGUGCUGUGUCGAAGCAAGCUCUGCCUAUGUACUCUAUCCUCAGCCAUGCUUGUACUUUUUUGAAAGUUGUCUAUGCUGGCUUUGACCUUCCUCAAUAGCUUAGGCAAACCAUGAACUUGAGGUCCUGUUGCCUCAGCCCUCAACACAGAUGAGAUUACAAACCUAUGCCCUGAUGACUACUAAGUUUACACAAUAGGUUUCAGCUAAUUUAUAAAUUAUAAGCUUAAUUCCUUUAAACCUAUACAUAGGAAAAAUUACAAAUCCACAUUUCAACGUGUAUCAGUGUUUCUCAUGAGAUCCGUAUGAAAACUCCCUUUGCUUCUCACUGCUACAAAGUUUUCUACAGUGAUCAUGAGUUGCCAAUAUAAUGACAUGAAAAGAAAGCUUUGUCUCUUUAGCUAAAGAAAUGUUUGACAAUUCAGAGGCCUUUGCUCACAUUUAGUCUGCAAUUUUGGAUGCUGGAAUCCCUGGGUCAUCCUGAUUACGUGUGGGCUAGGCUCCUACACAUAUUCAAGCUCCUAAUGGUAGACCCUUGGCACACAAAUAUUAGCCAUUCAUUCAUCUGGUUAAUUUUUUUUUCUUGCUUAUGAAGAGAGAGAGAUGGGAUCUAGAACCAUGCUUACAUGAAGCAAGUACCCCACCACUGAGCUAAACCCUUAGUUCCCCAGCUUCUGUUUUAAGAUAGGAUCUCCCUUAUGUGUCAAGACUGGGCUCAAGCUUGGAAUCAGCCUGCCCUAGCCUUUGGUCAGUGAGCCUGUACCACUCUAUAGGUAGUUCCUUAGCUAUACAGGUUAACUGAGCUGUGCUUUCCUCUGUGCCAUAGUUACAUAGAUCUGAGCACUUAACAAUUAAGAAUACUUUAUUUAUACAUAAAAGCGACUUGGCCGGGAUCUCUGUGAACACACUUUGCCAAGUUUAUUUUUGUAUUGUAAGGAUAAGAGAUAUUCUAAGAUGGCUCAAAUACUAGCAAACCAAGGGAGUGACCCAGAAUAACAGCACCCCAGCUGUGCUUUGGGGGCUUCAUCCUAUCAAAGGAGCAUCUUCUCUGAGCUCCAGUGCCUGCACUUACAAAAGAGGUAAGUUGCUACCCUAAGCCUUGGGUAGAAAGAUUGACAGACAGAUGUGUGACCAGUUAGGUAUCCAAACAUAGUGAGCAGUGGACUUUCAUUCCAUCCUUCCUUACUCCAACGAUUGGCUGGCUUUGUCCCAUGUUCCAUUUCUAUCAGCAACAGGCACAGCAAUUUUCUCAAUGUGUGAAGCAUUACAUGUGAUCCUUUGCACAUUCAUAAUGACUUCAUGGACUUUGCUGAUAUUUACUUAAGGGGUAUUUAUCAUGCUCCAUGCAUCAGGCACUGCUUUAAAUACCAGGAAUAAUGGUAAACAUACAGGAAGAUCUCAUUAAAAGCAAAGCUUCAGAUGGGGGAGGGGGUGCACAUUUUUUUUAAGUCAAAAAUAGUAAUAAUUGUUUUAAAGACAAUAAAAGCCUGGGUUAAAUAGUCCAAGGGUGGGAGACUUAAAGAUGUGUAGCAAAGACCUGCCCCUUGGGCAGUGUAUUGCUCUCACAAUCUGAAGAGAUAAUGCAUCAAAGACAACCUCUGUAUGUGUGUGUGGCAGGCAGCCUCUGGAGGGCACUUGCUGAUGCUUGUCUCUGGCAGCAUGAUUCUGUGUGAUGCCCUUCCCCACUGACUAGGGCUAACCUGAAUUACAGACCAGAUAGCAGGAAGUGAUAAAUUACAUCCAAGACUAUGCCAUCAAAGACUGUUGCUUUUGCCUUGCUUACUGAGAUUGCUCUAUCUGCAAAAGACAUUGCCACAAAGAUGCUCCAGUAUGGUACCAUGAGUCUGCCUUGCUUUGCUUUCCAUUGCUACGACAAAGGCCAUAACCAAAAUCAGCUUUAGGGAGGAAAGGGUUUCUUUGACUUACAUAAUCUGAGUUCACUGGGGGAAGCCAAGGCAAUACUUGAAGCAGAGGCCAUAAAGAACACUGCUUUGUGGCUUGCUCCAACGCCUGUUUGGCCUGCUUUCCUAUACCAUCCAGGACCACUGGCCCUGGGGUAGCAUUCCCCCAAGCAAGCUGGGACCUCCCACGUAAAUUGUAAGUCAAGAAAAUGCCCUACAGACUUGCCUACAGGCAAUCUUAUGGAGGCAUUUUCUCAACAAGGAUUUCUUCUUCCCAGUUAUAACUCCCAGAUAUAUCUAGAUUUGUGUCAAGUUCACAGAAAUCAACCAGCACAGAGCUCCCAUCAUCUGUCAGAAGCCUUCCACCCAUUGCUAUCUGUGUCAGGAUAAAAAUUCAAGGUCAUCUCCCCUCAGGUUCAUAGAAGUAUAACCCUUCCUACCUUUAUUAUUUUUCAAAAGACUGAAACAUCUUGCAUGUAAGCAUGCAUGUGCUUGUAUAUGUAUGUAUGUACGCAACACACACACACACACACAGACACACACACCAGCCUUUAGAUUCUAAUACUGAAAAUAUGAAAUCUCUCAAGACAGACUGUGGAGAAAUGAUAGAGAAAUUGUAGAAACAAGGUCUCUCCUGCACAGAACACAGCACUGUACUUCUCAUGGUCGGUGUUUUUGAAAUCAUGCUGUUUGUAACAGGUAUACUCUCCGUAAGGGACAUCCCCUCGAGUCUUGUCACCUACAGAACAUAAUGAAGUGUGUGUUCCCCGAGACUGUGCUAUGACCAGGACGGGGCUGUUUCUGGAGUUUCUAUCACCUCUGUAGGCAGCAUCACCCUCAGACCCUCUAAAAGGACUGUCCGUUGUAUAUUUGUCCAUGUAGAGCGUAUUCAUUGCUGUGUGGACGACCCUGGAGGAGAUCCCCAGAAGAAUAAUCAUAGGCAUUGUUUUCCGGAAGCUUGCUAUCUAGCAGAUUCAAUCUAAGACUGUAGCGAGUACCACCAGAGAGGUACCAGGUCAGAUCUGUAAGUGCCAGAGAGAAACCCCAUCCCAGAAAAAGCAAGGACAAUUGUUUGUAAACCGUAACUAACCUGUGUAUGUUUGUCAUUGGGAAACUAAGGACCUAAAGAAGGGUAGGGUGUGUCCUAAAGAGCAUAUUUCAUCAGGUGGGAGAAAGGCUCUUUGGGGCAGUGGCAACCAUUAAUGGUAAAGAGCAUGCUGGGAGAUGCAGCUGCAUAGCAACUAGCUUAGACACUUGCUAAAGUGUAGGCUUUGGCCCUUAGGCUAGGGAGUCAAGGAAGGCUUGGUACAAAGAAACGACCAGAAAGAAAAUGGGUUUGAAAAAUACUUAUGCGGCUGCCCAGAUAAGGCUGGGACAGGGAAAGCUCCUUGGGAAGAUAUGGGAGGUGGCUGUCAUCACAGCAGCUACAGAGAGGAGUGGAGACGUGGUGGUGCAUAUAGAAGACAUUCAGAAGGAAAAUUUAUGCUUGGAGUGGAGGAGGGUGUAUUUUCAGGACUCAGGGUAUCUCCUUGGGACAACUAGACUCAGUCUGGGCAAGUAGGAAGAGGUAAGGGAAAUUUCUCUUUCUGAAGAAAAACAAAAACAAAACAGCAAAAACAAAAAAAACCCUCACCAUCAGAAUGGGGAAAACCACCCGGGAGGUCCUUAUCGUUCCCAUAGGAACCUCACAUUUAUAUGCACAGAAGAACAUUUAAUUCACAAAACAUCCUGGGGAUUUGCUGGACACCCUCAGCAGGGUGGUAACAAACUAGCUUUCCUUCUAAGAGAACUACACCCCACCCCUAAGAAAACUACACCGUGCCCCCAAGAUGGGAGCAGUAAUGUGACUUUGAAACAUCUCUCAGACUCCAGCUCUCCCAAAUGCUGUCAGCAUAGAAGAUGACUGCACUCAACUGGGCAUGGUUGCCAGGAUUCAAUGACAGCAGCCCCAAGGGACCAUUCUCACUGAAAGAGGAGUGGCAUCAAAGCAGGGAGUAUAGACUAAUUCUAGAGUAGAAAAAAGGGACAAAACCCAGAAUAUAAGCUUUCCAUGAGCCUUAGAGAUAAGAGAGACGGUGUGUGUGUGUGCAUGUGUGUGAGUGUGUGUGUGUAUUACUUUGAUGAAGAAAAUGCAUUUGAAAUUCUUUCAUCAAUGAAAUAUCCCAUGAUCUCCUAAGCACAUAAUUAUGCAAACAGCGAACUAAGAGUUGUAUUAGACUUUGUAUUAAAGAUUACUCCAGUUAAUAAUGAACACUAAAAAUGCCUUUGCCUAUAGCACUGAUGCUCUGAUAGCUAUGGGUGCAUCCUAUCUUAGUGGGAGGUCAUGUCAUUGAAAAACAAUGACAAAUCCUAAAAACCCGUUCAAGGUCUUGGAAAAGCAACAAAUGCAUCCAGAGGAAGACAGCUGUGCUCCUGCCAUUUUAAGAUGCUGUCAUCAAUCCGUGCAACUUUACUAAAAUCUCAUUUUAGACCAAAUUUAAUUAAGUGCUCUGGGGUAAUGAAUUAAUAAUGUUUCAAGAAUUCUUUAAGACCCAAGGGACCUCUGACCAGGUUUUAGCACUGAGAUAUUAGUGUAUCAUUGUAAGUGUCCACUCCUUUCUCAUCCCCUUUGAAAAAAAAAUGAAAGAAAAAAAAAGAACAGACACGAUGUAAUAAAAGUGUUUGCAUUUGAAUAAUGGGCCAUCUAUACAGAAGAGAAGUAAAGACAAGAAAGAAAAAUUGCCUUAAUGAAUAAAGCUGUUGAUUGAUACUAGUCUAGAAACCGUAACCUUUAAAAGGCUUCGCAAUGAGCCUUGCUCCUCUGUCAUGGGAGUCUAUCCUAGAACCAAGCUCCACUGAGGACCCACGAAAGUGUACAAGGUCGAAUGAGCACAUGAGAAAGUCUGUUUCAGUGCUAUUGCAAAGAGGCAUGCUCCAUGAAGAGCAAAGAAACCUGAAACCCACCUCUGGCCUCCACAUGCAGACACAUGUGCACACUCACACACUCAGAAAGAUGUGCCUUCUGAACUAGACUCCGUGGCACACACCUGCCAUCCCAGCACUGAGGAGGCGAAGGCAGAGCUAUUCAGAAUACAAGGCCAGUCCAGGCUACACGGGGAGUUUCACACAGUCCUAGGCUACAUCUUAACAAUCUGUCUCAAAAAAACAAAAACAGAUAAACACACACACACACACACACACGCACACGCACACGCACACGCACACACACACGCACACACACAAACUUGUCCUUCAGCACUUUCCACAAGGUUCAGUCCCUGAAAUCAAACGCUGGUGGGUUUCCCAUAAAAUUCUAUCUACUGACAUACGUGUACGCUGUCUUGUGAUGACAUAAGUGCUGUGCAGUAAAGCCUUUGAUUUUAGGAUCCAGGAUGAUGAAGACAAGCAGUUGCCAUUCCACCUUUGUGCUGCUGACACUCAGGCAUGCCCUGUGUCACAGACAGAACUAAUAGGCUAUGUACAGGAAGCCCAGGAGCUCGGGACCAUUCCACUUCAUUCACUAACGCAUUCAUUCAUGCAUAUGCUCAUUCAUUACUUCAUUCACUCAUCCAAUCGCUUGUUCAACUAAUGAGAUAGCUAGAUUCAAAGGACACUGUGGCCCUUAACGAACUUGUAAGGAGGCGAAAAGAAAAGCUCUUGGCCCCAGCCCUGGCAGCACAAACACACAAAGUGCAGUCAAGAGGUACGCUUUCCAGAUGAAAAUAAUUCUUCCGUCUGGGUUUUGAUGGAGAAGUCGACGGCUCAGUUGGCAAAGCACUUGCUGCACAGGCGUGAGAACCUGGGUUUCCGUCCCCAGCAGCCAUACAUGGAAAAAUCUGUAUGUGGCAGUGACUGUAAGGAGAUAGGAGUGGAAACAGGAAGAUUCCUGAGGCUUAGAAGCAAGCUAGUCUUGCUCAGUCAGUGGGAUGCAGGGUUCGUGAGAGAACCUGUCUCAAGAAGUAAAGUGGAGAGGUAGCUGCCCUUCCCGAUGACCUGGGUUCGAUUCCCUACACUCCUGUGGCAGCUCACAACCAUUUGUAACUCCAGUUCCAAGGGAUCAGACAUCCACUUUUGGCCUCUGCAGUCUCCAAGGAUGCUGUGGCGCACAGGCAUGCGUGAAUUUUUAAAAUACCCAAACACAUAAAAAAUAAAAAUAAAUAAAAACAAAAUUGAGGUACAGAGAACUAGAGAAAGGAACAUGACGUUGACCUCUGGUUUCCACAUUCGCAUGCACAUACACAAACAUGUCAGCUAAACACCUGUGUGUACCAAUUUACAUAUGCAAACUACACACACAUAGGUCAGGAGCAGGGGGUGCGGGAAGAAGAGAUUGAUGGCUAGGUCCAGAAAGGCAUGGGGGUGGAGGUGAAGGCGGUGUAAGUCAUCUAAUUUUGUCUGAGUCCUGCCCCAAGCUGAAAGUCUGAGGUCAGAACCCCUGACCUUGAGUGCCCGACGCCUUGGGCCAGGCUGAGCAGAGCCAGUGUUGAGAAACACGAUCCUCUUCAGAAGGCUGUCUGUGCUGAGCUCACCUCAUAGGCAAUGCAGCAUCAUGGUGGAUAAUUUCAUCUUUUAAUACAGCGAGGUCUGAAGCAGGCAUGACUCAAGCCCAGGUCUGAAUAAGAAGAUUGUUUGCAGUAGCCUGGGUGCGUGCAUACACAUUUUCAUACACCCACAUGGAGAGAACUUAGUCUGUAAUACUACAUAUAAUAUCUGCUGUAAUACUACAUGUAAUAUCCGCUGUAAUACUACAUGUAAUAUCCGCUGUAAUACUACAUGUAAUAUCCGCAACUCCAGCAAUUUUAAAAAGCAUGCAUGGACAUCAGAAACCUCACACACGGAGGUAUCUGAAUAAUGUGCAUGUCUGGACGGACCCCUUGGGACAUGUUCAGAUGGAGAAGGGUUACUGAGAGAGGUUAUCAGCGCAGGACACCAUCUGUCCUAUCUGAUUUAGAUGUCUAUUUGACUUCGAAGAAGAGACUGAAAGAAGGCUAGGCAAGAUACAUUCCAAAGGUGCCAGAUAGUUCUGGUCAUUUGAUUUGGUAAGUUCACUGUUUCUAGUAGGUUUUCCACUCUCAAGACAAAAAAAUCCAUGCCCCUGGUCAAAUGAUUAAUUUCUCUUGCCCUCCCUACUAGCAGAAAACAUCUCACUGACUUCAUUUCCAGCUACAAAUGAUCAAAUGAUGUGUCUUAGAGAGCAGACUGAGGAGUCCGGAACCAUAUUCUUUCCUCUGGCUACUUUUAUUUCCCCCUUGGCUGUGUGACCUUGGACAGCAAAGUUUACCUCUCUGGGUUUCAGCUUCCAGAGUGUCACACUACAGGAAUGGGCCAGUGUUCUAAGAUUCUUUUCCAGCUCUCAUCUAUAAAACCAUCCCCUACCUAACAUUCAAGACUUAGUUGAGCUUCAUGAAUCCUGCCAUGAGGACUCAUGGAAUUCUGAUUAUUUCCUAAUCAUAAACCCCACUUCAUUUUAGUCAAAAACAAAAACAAAAACAAAAACAAAACCACCACUACCACCACCACCACAACAACAAAAUCCCACCCAUAUUUUGCAUGGCUUAAAUGACAGGGCUGGUACUGGUUGCUCUGGUUUGAAUUAUGCAUUGUUCCAAUUGGGGAGAAUUUCAGACUAGGCCCAGUCUGGGAUCACUGACUGAGAACAAUAAGCCCCCAAAAUCAGAAGGAGAAAGGCCUCUCUAGACAGGAUCUGCUUUUAAACCACCAAGCCCAGGGCUUACAAAGAGCAUUGAUUGUAUACAUUAAAGAGCCACAGGGAUGUCGAGGGGCUGACAGGGCUGCACCACUGACCUUGCCUGCAAUUCAGGGUCAGGGUUUCCUCAGAAGGACUUCUCUGCAAGCUUAGGAACCAACCUCUCCAAAUCUGGGAAGGCAGCCACCAUCUACGCUUCCAUUUGUGGGCAUCACCUACUGGCCCUCGGAGACAAACGGACCUGCACACCUAGCCUACCACAAGACUGCCUGACGCUCCCAGGCCUGCUGAGUACAACUGUCUGCCCAUCUGCAUGUAAGUCUUCCAGCCAAUAGCUCCCCCAGACACUGGGAGUAGCUGUUAUCCUAGCUCUUUGCACACACCAGUGCAGGCAGAGAAUUCAUUGGGCUUCUUGGGUGACAAAGAGCAAUCUCAGUAAAUCAUACAAAGAUAUCUGUUCCACAUACACAUAGCAGAGCCCGGGAGUUUCCUCAAGUAUGCAUCAAGGUGCUCUGUGCUUGGUAUCUCAGAAAACCUUGCCCACAGGAGCUAGUCCCCUCCUCCCAGCCCCCCAACUUAAAAAUCAUAUCAGGGAGAAGGAUGCUAAGAUUCCUGCUCAGCUAUAUCACAAGGCUGCCUCAUUGUUCAGGCCUCCACCUCUUAGCCACUCCUCCUUCUCCAAGUCUGGUCCACCUGAUUAACUCACACCAUAGCAACUCCCAGACAGAAGUAGAGCACACACCAUGGGUGAAGAGGAAGCCGCGCUUGUUUAAAGCACCCACUCUGCUCCCAACCCCCACACUUAGCUACUCACUGGUUCUGAAUGUGGCCUUUGGGCACCAGAAAAACAGACAGCUUACUGUAAUCAUGCAUGAAUGAGCUUCUGCUGCCCCACUAGCACAACAGGCCGUUUCAUAGGGCAGUCAGUCCUCAACCUUCGAGUUGUCUCUCUGAAUUGUCACCUCUCUCUCUCUACCAAAAGAUAUGGGAAGGGGCAAGGAUUCAAGGAGAGGGAAGAAAAGAGACUCGUGGAGCCUGAAGAAAAAGUAUCACCUCCAUCAGACAGGGCGGAGAGAUCGAUUUCAUCCAGGCUGCGAGCUGGGGAGUCGCUCGCCAUGUCGACUCUUCGCGGGAGAAAUGGACCAAAACCACCCCGAAGCGUCUUCCUUGGCAAUUCCACCCCGGUCUAUUUCGCUCGCGUCCUCAUGCGGCUGUCCGCCAGAGAGGCCCGGGGCCCAGCCUCCCCCGCCCACCCGGGCCCCAGCAAGAGUCCGAUCCCGAUCUUCCGAGAGCGUCGAUCCGCGGGAUCCCGGAGCCCGACCUGCGCGGAUCUCCAAGCCCGGAGCCGCGGUGCGUGUGGGCUGCGCGCCCUGAUCGGCUAAGGGCGCUGGGGCUGCGUGGGUGUAUUUAAAUGGGACAUGCUUCUUUGCUUGUGCGUGGAUGGCGGCUGCAUUGGCUGUUAUAAUGAGACAUAUCAACUCCUCCACUCAGCUGGGAGGUGGGGGUGGAGAACCACACAGAACUGUCUAUCACCGCUUCCUGGGAGGAGUGGGGGGGGGGGGAGAGGCGUGGUCUCCGACUGGGGAGAGGCCGCGCUUCCUGACCGGGUCCCUCCGCCACUAGCCAGGGUGGGGGAGGGGUACGCACCCUUUCCGCCCCAGCUUUUGAGGGUUAAUAGUGCUGAAUCUAAACAGCCGUUUUUGAGCCUCUCUGUGCAGGAGCCUGAAUGCUGAAUAUAUAUUUUUAAUGUGUCCAAUUUGUGCAGUGCACCAAAAUGGCUCUUCGAUCGUAUCUUGGGGUUUCUUGACUGCGUUCAGAUACUCUAAUGGUGAAAAGGGUGGUGGGGAGAGGCAGCGGGAAAAGGCAGCAGCGUCCUCCCUCCCCCAUUAAUUAUUUGUGGGGCUGGAGUAAAGGCGGGCCGGUGCAACCGGUGCAUAUAAGGACUUGUGCGCAGGGAAGGGGAUCCGCCUCCCCGCGCAGAGCGAGUUGGGGAGAAGCUCACACGCGCCGAGCCGGCAGCCUGGCUUUGGUGCUGAGCAGUGGCCACAGGGUCACGGUCAUUCGCGGCCACUGGGUUGCAGGAAGGCAGGCCCGAAUCGUCUGUGGUUCUCUAGGCUGAGUAGGUUUGCUAGAAGCUGGAAAUCCGAGAGAUGUGAGCUCUGUCUGGAUAUCGCCACACCCAAGACCUGCGCGUGCCGCAAUUCCCCACGGAAAUGACCGAAUUGAAAAGAGAAGCUUGCUCCCUGGGUGCAGUAGCUCGAAGGAUUCAGGUGACUCCAAGGCCGACAUUAAUUGGGCAACAUAGUACCUAACCCAGUGUUUCCUCCUUUGUAGCUUUUCCGCGGUGACCUACCUGGAUUCAUGGAGAAAGUUUGGCUCUAGGAUAGUGAGCCCUGACCCGCGAGCUAUUUGACUUCGCUCGCUUUUUCACUCAAGAGCUGGGUGUUUGCAGUGGUAACCCGUCAUUCUUUAUCAAAAGUGUAAAGUCACUUCCCCAACCCUCUCGCAUCCUUGCCUGUCUCCUAGUUUGGCCACGCAAAAUACGUCGGAAGAAAACAUUUAUAGUGAACUCUUCCCACUGGCUUCAACUCAUCAAUAGUUCUGAGUGUUCCUCUAGCAUCUACUGAGAUAAAAAGCUAAACAUACUGGGGGGGGUUGAUUUUUAUUUGACUUUUUGUUUUGUUUUCUUUUGGGGGGAGUAGAGGUUCUUUUUGAUUUAUCUUAUUGGUUGUUUGAUUUGGUAUGGUUAUGAGACAGAUCUUAAGUACUUAAAGGAAGUCUUCCCUUCACUGUGCAGCUGGGGAUGGCCUUGAACUCCUCAUUGUCCUGCAAAUGACCCCCCCCCCCCCGCCCACCCAAGUACUCAGAUUACACAUGGACACCAACACUUGGGCUGUUGCCACUUCUUUUUAAAGUCAUGAAGAAUAAACUAAUUAUGAGCUUCAGAACAAGUUGAAAGAAUGAAUGAACGGACCAACACUAAUGAAAUUAGUGUUAGCUGGACUGUUUAGUCUUGGACUCAUUGGGGUGGGUCAUGUGCUCUCUAAACCAUACCAUGAAACUAGAAUGCUGUUCCGAACCCACAAGCCUCCACGAAGGGACCAAGUAGAAGCCAUCUUUUCCCUCCACCACACUUUUCCUUGUGUGUCAUCAUCAUCUUCUCCUUCUCCUUCUUCUUCCCUUCUUCUUCUUCUUCUUCUUCUUCUUCUUCUUCUUCUUCUUCUUCUUCUUCUUCUUCUUCUUCUUCUUCUUCUUCUUCUUCUUCUUCCUCUCCUCCUCCUCCUCCUCCACCUCCUCCUCCUCCUCCUCCUUCUUAUCUCACCCUUUCUCUAGACAACAGGUUAACAUGUCUCAAGAUGAAGCAAAAUAAUUUCAGAUUAGGGUAUUGAGAUUCAUACGCAGGGCUCCUUUAAAAGCUUCAGACUUGAAAAUAGGAGAUAAACAUGCUCACAGAAAAGUACUACAGACUUAGGUGAAACCACAAAAAGGUCUUUUCCCCUAACUCUAAUAGCACAAGACUCUACUUUGGGGUUUACAAUAGGUUCAGACUAGUCCACUGCUGCUGAGGAAGCCCCACCUCAGACAGAAAGGAUGGAUAUAGCUUCAAAGAGGGUUCAACACAGUGCACCCUGGGGAGGGAGGGAGGAGUGGGUAGAAAGCAGUGGCAGGCAAGGGUGGGAAAUCUUAGGACCAGGAGAGGGCAGAGGGCAGAUCAGGCAGAGUUCUGCAUGCCCUAUUCAGGAACAUCAAACUCUCUUCUUUAGGCCAAGUACAUUUCAGAUUUCAGCUGUUCCAGCAGAAGUCUGAUUUCUUUCCAUCCUGCACUCUUAUCAACAGUUUUUGCUUUGUGUUUAAUUUAAAAGAAAACAUAAGUCACUACUAUAAAAAGAGGUCUAGACAUACUAGGGCCCCAGUCCUUAGUAGGCACCAAGGACUUAGCACCACUGACUCCAUGAUGGAAGGACCGCUCAGCUGUAAAACAGCAUGGAGACAACACCAUCUUCUAAAACUAAAGCCUAGGCCUAGUCCAUCAAAAACCAUAAUUCUGAGAAAGUCUCUAAAUGUACUAGCCUUGCUUUUUGGCUUCUGUGGCUCUGCUUCUGGCUAACUGUUCUUGUUAACUGAAGUAUGUCAACCUAGAGCAUGGUUUUUGUGCUUAAAAUCUCACCCUGAGAAAGGCUCUGGGCUACACUGGGAUCCUAGCAUAGUUGCUGGCUGGCUAAUAAAGACUUCCUUUUAGAUUAAACCCAUGUCUGGUCUGAGAAGUCUUCUCUGGUGAGUACCCCACAGCACUAGACAUACCUCCUCCUAUAGAAAAGAAAACAUUCAAUAUAAAAUCACUAUAAUGAAAGUAAGGUCUACCAUUUUGGUCGGUUAUUGCUUCGUUAUGGAACAGCCCAGGUAACAAGGAACCCCAGCCUUCACAAGGGCAGACAGGAAGUGCGGGGCAAGAGGUCAGCAACUAAAAUUAUUUUAGAUACAUGAUGUUAACUGACAGGAAAAAGGGCAAAUAGCAAGUAGCAUAGGCAGUCAGGAUGCGACCAAGAUGAGGCUUUACUCCUGUCAUGAUCUGAAGGACUGGGGAAGCAGAGACCAUUCAGGCAUAUCUUCAAAGCCAAGAAAACACACCUGCCUGCUGGCUGUCUCUACUCUAAGCAUGCAACAACAACAGAAAGCCUGGCACAGACAGGAAGUGCACAGCAACUGACCAGGGAGGACGAAGAAGAGGAUACAAGGAAGGCAAGGAAGCCCGGUGAGAACUUACGGUUUUUUAAAAGCUGAAGCAAAUAUCAUUACAGGGUUGGAAUAGUUAAAUAUGGACUGCUAGUUAUAGGUAUUGAUAAUAUUGUCCUUGGUGCAUUUACAUAUUUGGAACAUUCUUGUGUUUUAAAAGUACUCAGAAAAGAGAGAAACCAGAGGUGUCUUCUCCUUGUUAUGUUCUGUGUUGUUUAAUAACAAAUCUAUGUGCCAAGUCAAAUCACAAUGUAGAAAUCAGAAGUAACACGUGUAGGGGUUCAAAUGUAGCCCAGGUUUUCCCCUGACUUGGUACAUAGCUCGGGAUGACUUUGAAAUUUCCAAGUACUGAGCCAUCAUGUCUACCUCGGAAAAAAUAUUUUUAAACAUACAUUAAGGUCUUAAAAGAAGCAAUAUCAGCUGGCCACUUAUCCAGAGCACUGUCUAGAUGGUCUAAAUCAGUAAGAGUGGAUGUGACGUUUAAUAUGACAACAAAGGAACUGUAUGGGUGAGAUUUGGGCAGGCCGAAGCUGCAUGAGCAGACAUGUUUAUUGUGGUGAGUAACCAAGGGACUGUAUUGAUUCAUUGAUUCAUUCGACGUAGAUCAUUCUAUAUAAAAGCAGUACUAGGCCCUGAGGAGCCUGAGUCACACAAAACUCUCACCUCACAGAGACAAACAAGCUUAUAAACAGCCAGUGACAAGAUUAUUUUAGAUAUGUAGUGAUAGCUGAUAUGAAAAAGUACAUGCAGAAUAAGGAGACUCAGCAGCACACACCCCCCUCCACUGGCACCAGCUCUGAACAUGUAUGCUAGGGUCAAUGAGGCAAGCUAGUACCUGGGUGCUGAUUCCCAAUGACGGGAAGAAAUGGGAACUCACUCCCAAACACUGUGUGUGUCUUCUGAGUGCUGCUCCGUUCUCCUACUACACUCCUUAAAGCAAACCUUCAGUCAGAAUGGCACCACUGAUGAACAGAGGAGAGCUCUGAACACAGCGUUGGCCCACACGGACAAGUGCACUCCUCCAAUGGUCACGGGAGCUAUUACUGGAGAAGAAAGACCCUGGCAUCAGUUAGCAAACUGAAUCAAGACCGAAGAUAAUAAUACAGCAAGACAGGCUUAUAAUGUGCACACUUAAAUCCUUAGAGGUAUAAUCCAGGACUUGCAUGCAGAAAAUAUAACUUUUUUUUUUCAAAACUAGUUAGAGGACUAGUUAGUCACAUUUUAUGAGUGUAGGAACAUGGACAAGUUGGUAAAGUACUUGCUGCAUAAACCUGAGAACAUGAAUUUUAAUCCCAGGACACGCGUGAAAAAGGUUUCCUGCAACAAUAUACCUGUAAUCCCAAUACUAGGGAAGUGGAGGCAGGAGGCUUCCUGGGACUGACUGGUCAUGUAGUCUCGCUAACUCAGCAAAUGCCAGGAUCAGGGAGAGACCCUGCCUCAAAAAAUAAGGUGAAGAGUAAUCGAGAAAUGCUCCAAUGUUGACCUCUGGCUUUUGAAUGCACACAUGGGCACACACACACACACAUACAUGCACACCCACACAUCCAUGUGCACACACAAACUUAUAAAUAUUUUUAAGAGAAUAUAUUGGAAUAAAAGCAUAGUAGAUUGAAAAAAUGAUUGUAAAUAUAAUUGUGUUAUUAAGAUAACCGUUUUAUUAUCAAUAUAAUAAAUCAUACACAUUCUUCUAAGCAUUUGCUGUGGUCUGAGUAUUUCUGGAACCCCUAACAUUAGACCUUGAAGACCGAGUUCAACAGUGACAGCAUGAAGAAGCAGUGCCCUUGUGAGGGACAGCAGUGCCCCUGUGCCCUGGAAGGACACAAGGGGCAUCACUUGGAGGAUCUGUGUUAACAGAUUCAAGCGUCAGUGCCUUGACCUAGGACUCUCCAGCUUCUAAACCUAAGCAAUACAUUCCUGUUGUGUAUAAAAUUACCUGAGGCAUUUUAUUUUAGUAGCCAAAAUGAACUAAGAGAACAUCCAUGUAUUUAUAUAUUUAAUAUUUAUUACCUAACAAAAUAGUCAAUAGUAUUAGGAUAUUUGUCUUACAAGAGAAGAACAGUAAACUUUAGCUUUGCCUGGAGCAACACAGUUAUCAUAAGAGGAUGAGUCAGGAUUUGAACUCAGGGUCUUCUUCACUGUGUUACACUGUCACUGAUGGAAGGGAAGGAUGGGCAGUUCCUACCACAGAGUAGUAAGCCCAGGCUGUUCGUUCAUUUAUUGGUUGUUAUUGUUGUUUUGUUGGAACAGCAGAAAAAGUUAAGCAACAUGAAGGUAUAUCUAAAAGUUCCAACAUGCUUCUAAUAGAAAAUCUGUACAAUAUGUGGAAGAGUAAAAUAAAAUGCUAUAAGUUG